GGAUACGAUCAUACCAGAGAGCUAACGCACCGAAUCUAUCAGAAUGUCAAAGUCAACCAUGCUUGAGCAAGAAUAGUACUUGGAUGGAUGACCUCUUGGGAGUCUUCGUGUUGCAUCCU
rfam:Nicotiana attenuata strain TT chromosome 10, whole genome shotgun sequence.